rnacentral:rRNA from 1 species
AUUGAACGCUGGCGGAAUGCUUUACACAUGCAAGUCGAACGGCAGCACGGGGGCAACCCUGGUGGCGAGUGGCGAACGGGUGAGUAACACAUCGGAACGUGCCCAGUCGUGGGGGAUAACGUAGCGAAAGCUACGCUAAUACCGCAUACGAACUCUGGUUGAAAGCGGGGACCGCAAGGCCUCGCGCGAUUGGAGCGGCCGAUGGCAGAUUAGGUAGUUGGUGGGGUAAAGGCNCACCAAGCCGACGAUCUGUAGCUGGUCUGAGAGGACGACCAGCCACACUGGGACUGAGACACGGCCCAGACUCCUACGGGAGGCAGCAGUGGGGAAUUUUGGACAAUGGGCGCAAGCCUGAUCCAGCCAUUCCGCGUGCAGGAUGAAGGCCCUC